GCAUUUUGCCUUGUAAUGGUACAGUGCCACAUUCAAAGGAUGGUAGCGAAUAGGCGACAACGUUCAUUACACAUGAUAAGCGUUUACGUUAAUUAGACGGCUAAAACGCUGUGCAGGCUUGGGAAAACUAUUAUACGUCUAGCUGCGAUGGAGAUGCCUCAUCCAUAUGUCGCACGAAAUAGCCGCUACUAUCCAUGGUUUGUGAAAUGUAUUGGGGCAAUUGACAACACCCACGUUAAAACAUGCGUUCAAGGUGAGAACAUUGUGCCCUACAGAAGUAGGAAGUCCACAACAGCACAUAAUGUCAUGUGCGUUACUGACUUCGACCUUUGCUUCACAUACGUUUAUGCUGGUUGGGAGAGCAGCACCCAUGACUAGCGGAUUUUCCUGGAGUGCAUCUAUGAUCUUACUGCUCUUUUCUCAUAUCGGUCGAAGAUGCUACAAGGGCUUUUUACCCCCACAUUACAACUAGCUAUACCAUUUGCAAGAUUUUCGCCAUGGUCGACAUCGUCUGAAGAAUGCAGUUGAACAGUUUAAUUAUAGGCACUCCUCAUUACGAUCAGCUGUGGAAAGAAAUUUUGGAGUAUGAAAAGCUUGAUUCCCUAUCUUCGAGAAUAUGCAUCUAUAUCCGAUUGAGAACUAGCGACUAUUUGUGGUCGCAUGCUGUGUGGUACACAACUUCAUUCGCAAAGACUGCAGUGCUGAUGAUCCACUAUUUCGUCUUGCCCUAAAGAUGCAUUACGGGCAAGAUUUGAUCGAUGUAGCGCAAUUGCCUACAAUGACACCCGUUCUGUAAGUAGCGCAUGGACAACCACUGAACCGAA